AUUGAACGCUGGCGGCAGGCUUAACACAUGCAAGUCGAACGAGUAGCGGACGGGUGAGUAAUGUCUGGGAAACUGGCUGAUGGAGGGGGAUAACUACUGGAAACGGUAGCUAAUACCGCAUACCAUCAGCUGUGCCCAGAUGGGAUUAGCUAGUUGGUGUGGUAACGGCUCACCAAGGCGACGGUCUCUAGCUGGUCUGGGCGGAUGACCAGCCACACUUGGACUGAGACACGGUCCAGAUUCCGACGGGAGGCAGCAGUGGUGAAUAUUGCGCAAUGGGCGCAAGCCUUAUGCAGCCAUGCCGCGUGUAUGAAGAAGGCCUUAGGGUUGUAAAGUAGUUUCAGCGGGGAGGCGUUACCAGCAGAAGAGGCACCGGCUAACGCCGUGCCAGCAGCCGCGGUAAUAC
rnacentral:rRNA from 1 species